rnacentral:circRNA from 1 species
GCUGGCGCCCAUGCGGCUCUACACGCUCUCCAAGCGCCACUUUGUCCUCGUGUUUGUCGUCUUCUUCAUCUGCUUUGGCCUGACCAUCUUCGUUGGGAUCAGAGGACCUAAAGUGAUCCAGACUUCUGCGGCUAAUUUUUCACUAAAUAAUAGCAAAAAGCUAAAGCCAAUUCAAAUACUUUCAAAUCCACUGUCUACAUACAAUCAGCAACUAUGGCUGACAUGUGUUGUUGAGUUGGAUCAAUCAAAAGAAACUUCUAUUAAGACAAGCUUUCCCAUGACUGUUAAAGUCGAUGGUGUAGCUCAAGAUGGAACCACGAUGUACAUUCAUAACAAAGUUCACAACCGGACAAGGACCCUCACAUGUGCAGGGAAAUGUGCGGAGAUUAUUGUGGCUCACCUUGGCUACCUGAACUACACUCAGUAUACAGUGAUAGUGGGAUUUGAACACCUGAAGCUCCCCAUCAAGGGAAUGAACUUCACA